rnacentral:rRNA from 1 species
UACAGAGGUGGCAAGCGUUGUUCGGAAUUACUGGGCGUAAAGGGCGCGUAGGCGGCCUCCUAAGUCGGACGUGAAAGCCCCAGGCUCAACCUGGGAACUGCAUCCGAUACUGGAUGGCUUGAAUUCGGGAGAGGGAUGCAGAAUUCCAGGUGUAGCGGUGAAAUGCGUAGAUAUCUGGAGGAAUACCGGUGGCGAAGGCGGCAUCCUGGACCGACAUUGACGCUGAGGAGCGAAAGCUAGGGGAGCAAACGGG